rnacentral:rRNA from 1 species
GUGGGGAAUCUUAGACAAUGGGGGAAACCCUGAUCUAGCCAUGCCGCGUGAGCGAUGAAGGCCUUAGGGUUGUAAAGCUCUUUCAGCUGGGAAGAUAAUGACGGUACCAGCAGAAGAAGCCCCGGCUAACUCCGUGCCAGCAGCCGCGGUAAUACGGAGGUGGCUAGCGUUGUUCGGAAUUACUGGGCGUAAAGCGCGCGUAGGCGGACCAGAUAGUUGGAGGUGAAAUCCCAGGGCUCAACCUUGGAACUGCCUUCAAAACUCCUGGUCUGGAGGUCGAGAGAGGUGAGUGGAAUUCCAAGUGUAGAGGUGAAAUUCGUAGAUAUUCGGAGGAACACCAGUGGCGAAGGCGGCUCACUGGCUCGAUACUGACGCUGAGGUGCGAAAGCGUGGGGAGCAAACAGGAUUAGAUACCCUUGUAGUCC